GUGUACCAGUUGUCGUGCCAACGGCAUAGCUGGGUAGCUAUGUAUGGACGGGAUAAGUGCUGAAAGCAUCUAAGCAUGAAGCCCCCCUCGAGAUGAGAUUUCCCAACUUCGGUUAUAAGAUCCCUCAAAGAUGAUGAGGUGAAUAGGUUCGAGGUGGAAGCGUAGCGAUACGUGGAGCUGACGAAUACUAAUCGAUCGAAGACUUAAUCAAU
rnacentral:rRNA from 1 species